UACGUAGGGUGCAAGCGUUAAUCGGAAUUACUGGGCGUAAAGCGUGCGCAGGCGGUCUGUUAAGACCGAUGUGAAAUCCCCGGGCUUAACCUGGGAACUGCAUUGGUGACUGGCAGGCUUUGAGUGUGGCAGAGGGAGGUAGAAUUCCACGUGUAGCAGUGAAAUGCGUAGAGAUGUGGAGGAAUACCGAUGGCGAAGGCAGCCUCCUGGGCCAACACUGACGCUCAUGCACGAAAGCGUGGGGAGCAAAUGGG
rnacentral:rRNA from 1 species